rnacentral:rRNA from 1 species
CCUGGCUCAGAACGAACGCUGGCGGCAGGCCUAACACAUGCAAGUCGAGCGCAGUCCUUCGGGACCGAGCGGCGGACGGGUUAGUAACGCGUGGGAACAUACCCUUUUYUACGGAAUAGCCUCGGGAAACUGAGAGUAAUACCGUAUAAGCCCUUCGGGGGAAAGAUUUAUCGGGAAAGGAUUGGCCCGCGUUAGAUUAGAUAGUUGGUGGGGUAAUGGCCUACCAAGUCUACGAUCUAUAGCUGGUUUUAGAGGAUGAUCAGCAACACUGGGACUGAGACACGGCCCAGACUCCUACGGGAGGCAGCAGUGGGGAAUCUUAGACAAUGGGCGCAAGCCUGAUCUAGCCAUGCCGCGUGUGUGAAGAAGGUCUUAGGAUCGUAAAGCACUUUCGCCAGGGAUGAUAAUGACAGUA